UGAUAUAGGGAAUGAGUAAACACGGUGCAGUGCUUGCACUGUGCAGCGUGUUUAUAAAAUGACCGAACAGACAUGAGGAAAAAAGAUAUGCGAAUGAAAUGAACAUAUCGUUUUCCGAAUGGCUGUAGCAUAACGAGAGCGCUGCGGAGUUAUGCGUAUAUCA
rnacentral:sRNA from 1 species